UACGUAGGGUCCGAGCGUUGUCCGGAAUUACUGGGCGUAAAGAGCUCGUAGGUGGCUUAUCGCGUUGUCCGUGAAAACUCACAACUCAAUUGUGGGCGUGCGGGCGAUACGGGCAGACUGGAGUACUGCAGGGGAGACUGGAAUUCCUGGUGUAGCGGUGGAAUGCGCAGAUAUCAGGAGGAACACCGGUGGCGAAGGCGGGUCUCUGGGCAGUAACUGACGCUGAGGAGCGAAAGCGUGGGGAGCGAACAGG
rnacentral:rRNA from 1 species